CCAAUAGCGUAUAUUAAAGUUGUUGCAGUUAAAAAGCUCGUAGUUGAAUUUCGGGGUUAGUAGGUUGGUCAUGCCAUUGGUAUGUACUGGUCUCACUGAUUCCUUCUCCCUGACGAGCCGUAAUGCCAUUAAUUUGGUGUUGCGAGGAAUCUGGACUGUUACUUUGAAAAAAUUAGAGUGUUUAAAGCAGGCUAACGUUUGAACACAUUAGCAUGGAAUUAUGAAAUAGGACGUUCGAUCUUAUUUUGUUGGUUUCUAAGAUCGACGUAAUGAUUAAUAGGGAUAGUUGGGGGCAUUAGUAUUCAAUUGUCAGAGGUGAAAUUCUUGGAUUUAUUGAAGACUAACUACUGCGAAAGCAUUUGCCAAGGAUGUUUUCAUUAAUCAAGAACGAAAGUUAGGGGAUCGAAGACGAUCAGAUACCGUCGUAGUCUUAACCAUAAACUAUGCCGACUAGGGAUCGGAUGAUGUUAAUUUUUUAAUGACUCAUUCGGCGCCUUACG
rnacentral:rRNA from 1 species